rnacentral:rRNA from 1 species
CGGCUCAUCGCAUCCUGGGGCUGUAGUCGGUCCCAAGGGUUGGGCUGUUCGCCCAUUAAAGCGGUACGCGAGCUGGGUUCAGAACGUCGUGAGACAGUUCGGUCCCUAUCCGUCGUGGGCGUAGGAAAUUUGAGAGGAGCUGUCCUUAGUACGAGAGGACCGGGAUGGACAUACCUCUGGUGUACCAGUUGUCGUGCCAACGGCAUAGCUGGGUAGCUAUGUGUGGACGGGAUAAGUGCUGAAAGCAUCUAAGCAUGAAGCCCCCCUCAAGAUGAGAUUUCCCAACUUCGGUUAUAAGAUCCCUCAAAGAUGAUGAGGUUAAUAGGUUCGAGGUGGAAGCAUGGUGACAUGUGGAGCUGACGAAUACUAA